UGACGAAAUAUAAGAGGUCCAGCCUGCCCAGUGACAUAGUUUAACGGCCGCGGUAUAAUAACCGUGCGAAGGUAGCAUAAUCACUUGUUCUCUAAAUAAGGACUCGUAUCAAUGGCAUCACGAGGGUUACACUGUCUCCUUUCUCUAAUCAGUGAAAUUGAUCUCCCCGUGAAGAAGCGGGGAUUAAGAUAUAAGACGAGAAGACCCCAUGGAGCUUUAAACUCAAUACACAUCUCUGUAUACCUAAAUCACUAUAACCUAGGAGACUUGUGCUUUAGUUUUCGGCUGGGGAGACCGCGGAGUAAAACUAAACCUCCACAACAAAUGGGCUAACACCCUAAUCCAUGAGCCACAACUCUAAGAAUCAACAAACUGAUGUCCUAUGACCCGAUUAUUCGACUAAUGAACCAAGUUACCCUGGGGAUAACAGCGCAAUCUAUUUCAAGAGCCCAUAUCGACAAAUAGGUUUACGACCUCGAUGUUGGAUCAGGGUAUCCUGGUGGUGCAGCCGCUACCAAAGG
rnacentral:rRNA from 1 species